rnacentral:rRNA from 1 species
UUGGAGGGCAAGUCUGGUGCCAGCAGCCGCGGUAAUUCCAGCUCCAAUAGCGUAUAUUAAAGUUGUUGCAGUUAAAAAGCUCGUAGUUGAAUUUCGGGGUUAGUAGGUUGGUCAUGCCUCUGGUAUGUACUGGUCUCUCUGAUUCCUCCUUCCUGAUGAACCUUAAUGCCAUUAAUUUGGUGUUUUGGGGAAUUUGGACUGCUACUUUGAAAAAAUUAGAGUGUUUAAAGCAAGCUAACGCUUGAAUACAUUAGCAUGGAAUAAUGAAAUAGGACGUUCGAUCCUAUUUUGUUGGUUUCUAGGAUUGACGUAAUGAUUAAUAGGGAUAGUUGGGGGCAUUAGUAUUCAAUUGUCAGAGGUGAAAUUCUUGGAUUUAUUGAAGACUAACUACUGCGAAAGCAUUUGCCAAGGAUGUUUUCAUUAAUCAAGAACGAAAGUUAGGGGAUCGAAGACGAUCAGAUACCGUCGUAGUCUUAACCAUAAACUAUGCCGACUAGGGAUCGGAUGAUGUUAAUUUUUUAAUGACUCAUUCGGCGCCUUACGGGAAACCAAAGUGUUUGGGUUC